GUUAGGUUCUGGAUAUUUGAAUAAGUUAUUACUUUUAGUUAUUAUAAUAUAGAGUUAUUUAAUUAUUAGUAUUUUUAUAAUAAUAAUGGUCAUAAAGUGUGUUGUUUGUGACGUUCAGUUCAAAACAAAAACAGAAAAAAAAUUUCAUUCAUUUCCUAAAGAUGAAUCACGCAAGAUCCAGUGGAAAAAGCAUGUGGGCUAAAUUUGUGUUUACCUUCAUACAGGGUAUGCUCUGAUCAUUUUUGGCCUGAAGAUUACGAGUUAAGUGGGCUUCUAAAGAAAGAUGCUGUUCCCUGUAAAGAAGAUAGAUUGAAUGAGAGCGAUACAAUAAUAAUGACAAUAGAUCAGCCUCCUGUGUCUGAUAUCUGUGUCACUCCUAGAAAGCAUAAUUUGGAUGAUGUAGAUCAUUGUUCACCAUCUCAAUUAUCACCAAGUGUAAAGAGGUGUAAACGUUUAAAUACAGACACUAUAGGAAUAUUGUCUCCUACUCAUUUUAGUACUCUAAAACGUACUAAGCGGAAUAUACAAAUGGUAAAAGAUAAAUACAGACAAAAACAAAUUCAAAACCACAACCUUAAAAAGAAAGUACAAAGACUUAAUGCAAAACUCAAGACAUAUGAUGAAUUAAUUGAAAAAUUACAACAUAAAAACUUACUGUCUGAAAAUGCUUCUUAUCACCUUCAAGUAUUGUUAUAGAUUAUUAUUUAAUACCAGUCUUAAUUACAGUGUUGAAUUCAGACAUUUUUUCCAGGGGGGGCACUAUGAGAUGUGGAAUUAAUAUUAAUACAAAUUAACAAACUUUACUUUAUUUAUCUAAUUGAUAUAAUUUAACUUUAGCUUAUAAAAACAAUUAAAAUUAUUUAAUAUUUAAAAAAUGUAUAAUUAAUAUUAUCAUAAAAAUUGUCAAAUGUCAAUGAUAAAGGCGCAUUUUAUAGUGACUGACUGAUAUCAGCCAUGCCAAUUAGAAUUUCCAAUUAUAUUCUUUUAAGGGGCGGUGUAAUAUGUACCUAGACCAUUCAAAUUGGUUCAUUAAUAAAUAAAUAAUUUAUUUACUGACAUUUAACCGGGGGGCAAACAAAACUUCAGGGGGAGCAGUUGCCCUCCCUGAUGUAUACCUGGAUUCAACACUAGUCUUGAGUAAAAUACUUUUUAAAAGUAUUUAGAAUAAAUACUUGAAUACUCUUGAAAAAUAGUAUUCCGAAUAUGUAUUUAAAUACAUCAUACAAAUAGUAUUCUGAAUUAAGUAUUUAGAAUACUAUAAAACUAUUCCAAAUACUUUUAAAAUAUUUUUAGUUUUAGAUAUUAUAAAAUAAUAUCUUUUUGUAUAUUAUUAUAUAAUUUUAUCAUUAUUAUAUUAUAUUAUGUUUAAAUAUAUUGUUUGUAAAUUAAAAUUAUAAUAUACUUCACU